UACUCCGCCUUAACUUUAACCCCGACCGUAGUUAGUGUUCCGAUGUACCAGUCAAGUAAUCUGGUCUAGGGAGAGUCGUCUCUCAGAAAGCUUGGCAGCAGAAAAGAAGCCAAAAAAGAAAACAAAAGAGAGCGUGUCCAACCGAGAAGAGAAGAAAGAAGAGAAGAGAAGCCAAGUGUUUGAUCGAAAGCCAGGAAUUUGUACAAUCGCCUGCAAAAUUUCAGCUCUGAAAGAAGCACUACAUUGGAGGAGGAGGCCUGUGAGGUCUCCUUCAUAUGAUCGUCUUAUUUAUGAGAAUAGAUUGUUUAGGGUUUCAUUGGGAAUUGGUAUUGUAGCUGAAUUGAGGCUCGAUCGUGGUGAGUGAGAGCUCCAGGUAUGGAUGAUCGAAUUGGGAAGGGAGUAGAUAUGAGUACGGAAUGGCGUACGGAUCUUAUCGGGGAUUCAUAGCAUGGUUUUUUUUGGUAAUUUGGUUGUUUGAUGUGUAUUAUAGUUAAAUUUAUGUGAUUGCUGGCGUUAGGGCUUGUGGUUCUGGAAGGGAAGUGGGUUCGGAUGAAGUAAUGGAGUUAGGGUUGGAGAUUUUGAAGAGGUAAUGGAUUUAGGGUUUGAUCGGAUAGGGAAUUGGAGACGUUAGGGUUACUGCGUCUGGUUUGUUUGGAUAGAAAAUUGAUGGCGGUAGGUUUUCUGGUUAUGGUUUGAUUGGAAGGAAAAUUUACGGCGUUAGGUUUGCUGCGAUUAUAUGAAUAAUUGGUGGCGUUAGUAUUCUGCGUGUGGAUUGAUUUGGUGGGAAUUUGAUAAUGUCAGGCUUUCUACUUCUGGUCUAAUUGGAAGGGAACUAUACGGAGUAUGGUUUUGGUUUGAUUGGAAGGAUAAUUGUGGCUUUAGGUAUUCUACAUGUGGUUUGAUUGUACUGAAAAUUGUGUCAUUAAUGAUUCUACGUCUAGUUUGAUUGGAAAUAAAAAUUAUGACUUAAGCGCUUCUGUGUCGAGUUUGAUUGGAAAGAAAAGGAUAGGAGGGAAGUUAUUGUUUGUGUGAGGGUGGGGUGUUAAUAUGGAGAGAGGCAGCAGUUCGGGCACCAGUCCCAGCAGUGAAGAUGAGACAGAUCUUCCGCAAUCUGGCAAUCGCAAUGCUAAUUCCUCAUGGAGGCCGUCCGCAAUGCUGUUUCGUCCUUAUAUUGCUGCACGUGGCAGAGGAGCUUCACAUUCGCCGGGUUCCUUGCGUGUCAUUGUCGGCAAACCUCUUGUUGUCAAGCUGACAAAGGACAUAAUUGAAACAUACCAAAUUUGUAAUCCCACGUUCACUUACUCAGACUCUUUUAAUCCAAAGCGAUACCUUACAAAUCCAUCUACUGGGGUCCUGAAUGAUGCUGCAGACAAUGCAAAUUCAGAUCUAAUCUUGACUGUUAAUGCUAUACUGGUGAAUUCUGAUGCCAACCGCAGGUACAUUGUGAAAGAUAUACUGGGACAGGGAACAUUUGGACAGGUUGCCAAAUGUUGGGCACCUGAGACAAACAGCUUUGUUGCAGUCAAGAUUAUAAAAAAUCAGCCAGCUUACUACCAUCAGGCGCUUGUGGAGAUCUCUAUUUUGAACAUGCUCAAUAAAAAAUUUGACCCAGAGGACAAGCACCAUAUUGUCCGCAUCCUUGAUCAUUUUGUUUGUCAAAGACAUCUCUGCAUUGCUUUUGAAAUUCUUGGAGUAAAUUUGUUUGAACUACUCAAAUUGAAUCAAUAUAGAGGAAUAUCUCUGAACCUAUUAAGGUUAUUUGCGAAGCAGAUCUUGGAUGCAUUACUUGUGCUGCGAGAAGCAAGUGUUAUACACUGUGAUCUGAAACCUGAAAAUAUACUCUUAUCAACAAGUCUGCAGUUAGCAGAAAUUAAGCUUAUUGACUUUGGGUCAGCAUGUAUGGAGAAUAGAACAGUUUACUCUUACAUACAGAGCCGUUUCUAUAGAUCUCCAGAAGUUCUUCUUGGGCAUCCAUAUACAACUGCUAUCGAUAUGUGGUCCUUUGGAUGUAUCGUUGCCGAGCUGUUCUUAGGCUUACCUUUGUUUCCAGGAGCUUCGGAAUAUGACCUCAUUAAACGAAUGAUAGAGAUACUUGGAGGUCAGCCGCCAGAUCACAUUUUGAGGUCUGCAAAAAAUACAAAUAAAUAUUUCAAGCAUGUGGGUGGUUCUUCACGGUUAGAUGAAAACCGAGCUACAGAGGGACAGAAAAGUGUAUAUCGUUUUCUCAACGAAACAGAAUAUGAAACAAGAGAAAUGAAGAAGCCCGCAAUCGCAAAGCGUUAUUUCAAUUACGAGACACUUGAAGAUAUUAUUUUCAACUAUCCACACAGAAAGAAGAUCACCGAGGAAGAAAUUUCCAAAGAGAAUCAAACACGCUUAGCAUUUGUUGACUUCUUGAGAGGCCUUUUUCAGUUUGAUCCAGUUAAGAGAUGGACACCUCGACAGGCUGCACAACAUCCCUUUGUGACUGAAGAAGCCUUUACUGGACCGUACAAGCCCACUCCAGAAACACCCCGCACGCCUGUAUGUCAGAUAGUUAUGGUGGACCACAAUCCAGGUUCAGGCCACUGGUUUGGUGCUGGCCUUUCUCCACAGGUCACUAACAUGAACAAGGGCAUUCGCUACAAUAGCCCACAAUACCAGAUGGCUCCUUUUUCAUAUGCAAGUAGUUAUGGUAGUCUUGGAAGCCACGGUAGUUAUGGAGAUGGUGUUGGCUUUGGAAGUAGUUUUGGUAGCUAUGGUGAUUCCAAUAAUAUUUAUACUGGGCAUCGUCCGACUGCAGCAGCUGGGAUCAACAGUCAGACUCAGACUACUCAUGGUAGUACAGGUCUUGGAACAAGCCCCGACACAAGAUGGAGGUUGCCACAAGUUCCUCCUGGGCAUGGACUUGGUGUAAGUCCCUCCAGUGUAAUGUUCAGACCCAUGUCAUUGGGAGCUAGUCCCUCUCAGUUUACUCCUCCAAACUCUCAGAUUCAGGGUUCAUCUGGAUCUCCAAUAGGAUCACCUGGCAGGUAUGGGCCAACAUCACCUGCGAGGAGUGGCAUCCAUGUGACAGGUUUGGGUAAAGCAGCUGCCGUAGGACAGUAUCACAAACGUAGGGGAUUGGGGAUACCUGGCAGUUUGCAUCUACCACCUCAGGAGAAUGUAGCACAACAUUGGCAGGGCCAUCAAGCCAAUUUUGGGGGAAAUGUGGAUGCAGGUGCUACUAGCUCUGCAGAUGGAACUGCUAGAGGUAGUUAUAUGGGCUCUCCUCGUGGUGGUCAAGGAAAUGCUCAUCUUCAACACUGGAGACAAAAAGGUGGAAAUGGCACCAAUACUGCGUCAGCGGUAUCAAAUAAUGAAAAGACUGCCGGUCUACGCGCUUCUGGUUCAUUGGGUAUUCUUCUCACCUCAACAGAGUUAGCCUCUGAAGGACUGGAAAGCAAUUCACCACCACCUGAUCCUGGAGAUUGGGAUCCAAAUUACAGUGAUGAACUUCUAUUGCAAGAGGAUGGGUCUGAGGUAAUCUCACCAAAGUCAGGGGUUAGUGGAGGCAUACGAUCAGGUCAAGUAUCAGGUACUGCUAGUACAUCUGGUACUGGAGUUGGUCGAUAUGGUCGUGGUCAUACACAGUCUCCAAGUUCAAAUAACAAUUCAAAUGCAUACAGAUCCAACGGAUUAGUUCAAGGACAUUCUAAUCCAGAAGGUAGUCCACCAUCUGCUCAUGGAAUGCUGCCAGGUUACGGUCGAUCAAUGUCAAAGCCUUUACACCAUGGACAGAACUCUCCAAGUCGUCUGGGGCAGCAAUCAUCACAGGCAUUCCAGCAACAUUUUCAACAGUAUCGUCCUCCAUCAGUGUUGAAUCCUGAUCAGCAGUUGCUUUCUAACGUGUUGGGACAGCAUAUUAUGCAUCAGUCGAGUAAUGUGGGGCAUAAUCAGAUUUCAAAUGGGGGAAAUAACUCUGUUUAUGCAUUAUCCUACGCUCAAAGAGAUAACCGAGCAGAAUACACUCAGAUUCCUGGUAUUGGAAGUGCCGUUAGCACAGGAGCUCAUAGUUACACAAACUAUCCGCAAGAUCAUGUGCUAGAGAACACCAGUUGGUUGUCUGGAAUGCCACGUGCCCAACCACAGAGCGCAAAUGAUAUUUCUUGGGGGCAAAGGACUGGUCAUACCUUUACCACUUUUCCUCCCUCCAUUCAUGGCCGAAGAGAUUACAGGAGGAUUGGUUGAUUUUAUAAGCUGGCUUAUUUCGGAUUUUAGAAGAUCGAUAUUCUUUAUUACCCACCUUCACUCAUCCCAAUUCUAUGUGAGACUUUAGAGUGGCAUCUCUAAAGUUUGUACUGCUUUAGGUGUAACCUUUUGGGCUUGUUUGCCGACCAGAACAAAUUUCUUUGUUUAGAACUCCCCAAAAAUUGUCACAUGGAUAGGAGGACAUGAGCUUUAAGUAUAAUUGUUAUGGCUAAUACAAUAGCCAAUCCCUUCAGAUUGCCAAUGAUAAGAUUUUCUGGCGAGGCCAGAUCUGGAAUGACUCUGCUACUGAACCAGUUGUGGCUGCCAGGAUUGUGCUGUUCUUUCAGUACUGGUAUAGAAAGAAAUCUGCUUUUCCUGUAUUGAGCAUUGACUGGAGCCAUUAGACGCAUUGCAUCUCAAGAGGCUGUUUGCCAGAUUUGAGAUUUUGACAAGGAUGUGACAAGGCGUUGUCCUUUUCUGUUCAAGUUCCUAAUCUUGGUUGGACAUUUCCAUGACAGAAUUACAGAGAAAGCAGGUGGUGAUAUCCAUAUUAUAGGUAUUUGCAGUUGAAAAAAAGAUUUUGAGCACAUCUCACAAAGACUCUGGUCACACCAAGUCCUGGUCCUUGGUUCGAGCUUAAAGUAUUUGUACUUGUACACCAACACCACCAUCUUUAAAGUGAAUCAAACAAAUGUUGGCUUCUGAAAUAGACUGUAUAUGUUAAAUCCUGUUUACAUGUAUUAUUCUAGACAUAAAUUCUGGGGAGGUAUGUUGAUUUGAAGGAAAUACAUGAUCAAAUUUUUAAAUUUUGAUUUCUGUUAUGCUCAGUUAUGGCUGAGAGACAUGAAGACCUUUGUAUGUCAACUGAUCUUAAGUAACUUAUAUUUGCCUUUAUUAAAUAAAGAAUUCAUGUGAGCUUUGAUUGUUCUAGAAAA